CAACUGACUGCCCCUUAAGGUUUAUUUAUUUAACUAAUCUCCGCACCUAAUGUGGGGCCUGAACUCAUGAUCCUGAGAUAGAGAGUCACAUGGUCUUCUGACUGAGUCAGCCAGGCGCCCUCUUCAACGACUUUAAACAUCAUAGUUCUGGAAUUACUAGUUAUUACAUAUUUAAAUUAUUUGAUCAUGUUCGUUGUAGCCCUUAAGUGUUUUGUCAAUAGGACUUUUCUAUUACUUGACGCUUGUUGCCAAGAUUUAGACUUGAGACACUACCUCUGCAGUUGAAACGCCACGGAUCUCAGUACUAAUUCCGUCAGCCUUUUGCUAAUUUACCCGUCAGGAUACUAAAACUUAGUCUUAAAAAUUCUCCCACUUGUUUUUACUCUAACUCUAGCAUAGCCACUAGGCUCAGAUACUGCCAAAAGAAGAAAUAAAAACAAGUCCUCUGUGAAAGAUCUAAGUGAAAAGUACAUGAAGCGAAGUUUGUGUUUUCACCAAGUCUUUAUGCACUAAACAAACACCUACCGAGUGCCGGGCGCCCUUUGAAUUACUGUGGAUACAGCAGGGAGACUGGAUCCUCCACAGGAUGGGUAUGCUUCAAUCAUGAAUAAUAAAGGACAGAUUAUGAGGCGCCUGGGUGGCUCAGUCGGUUGAGCGUCCGACUUCGCGCUCAGGUCACGAUCCGCGGUCCGUGAGUUCGAGCCCCGCGUCCGGCUCUGGGCUGACAGCUCAGAGCCUGGAGCCUGUUUCCGAUUCUGUGCCUCCCUCUCUCUCUGCCCCACCCCCGCUCAUGCUCUGUCUCUCUCUGUCAAAAAUAAAUAAACAUUAAAAAAAAAAAUAAAGGACAGAUUAAAAAUUCACGACAGUCACCACUUUUAAGAAAAUAUGAUUCACCUAUUAUGCAAAUUCACAGAAUUUAAAAAAAAACCCAUAGAGCACUAUUUGUAUUACAAAAUAGGUAUUUGUUUCAACUCACAAAGGACACAUGAGAUUUCCUUGAUGGUUGAUCUUUCCUACUGAGUUUUUAGAAUGCGAUUUGAUUGGGAAAGACUCGAUCUACAUGGUUUUUCAGAAAUAUUGCUGCAUCUAGAAAAUGCUGGCCUACCUGUUAAAUAUUUCUCACAUUCCUUUCUAUUCCCACUGAGGCUGAUUCAUGUGAUUCCACAAUCACAUUUUUCCUGGAUGAUUAGAAUCUUCUACGGGCCCCCAAAGCCGGUGUUUUUAUUUAAGUUGUAUCUUUUAUCUGAGAAUUUGAAUUCUCUGUGUAAAACGUGCAUCUCACGUGUACCUAAACCUUGUGAAGAUUUUAAUCUUGCUCUCUCCGACCACUGGCAUAAUUUGAAAAGCGAGAAUAAAGGGUUUGCUCUGACAGAAUUUUUAUGGACUCGUUUGGUCUUUAGGUCCCAUCAAAGGGAAUUUAAUUAUCAGAAAAACUAGAAGGUCUCAAGUAUCGUACGGCUCUGGGUCUUGGUCCCUGCGGCUGAGGAGAUACGAAGUCUUCGUGUAUCUUGAGUGAUUUUCCUUUCUUCCUUUUCCACUCUUAUUUUGCCAAGUGCUUGACAUUAGCAAUGCCCUAGAGUCCAGACCACAGUCCUUGGGACUUUGACUGCCACAAGAGGUUAGAGAUCAGUUGGCUUUGGGCCCAUUCCUAGUGCCUAAAUUGAGAAAUUUAAUGGUCUCUUGGGACCUUUAUAUCUUUGCCCUUAAACCUCUUUAUUCAUUAUCUUUUUGAAUGCAUGUGGCUGCUGUAAUUUUUAUUCACUUAUAAUUUUCUCUUGGUCCCAUUAAGCCUUUAUCAAGAAAAGGAUGAUUUCAUUAUUAAAUUGUUCGAUAAUCUAUUUAUUUACUUUUCUUCCAAACUCAGGGGUCUCUUUAGAAAUCGUGAUACUUUGCAGUACCUCUGAUUGACUGGGCAUGUAGUUGGAAUGUGGUUGGCCCUUGAAGAACACUGGGGUUAGGGACGCUGGCCACCCCCCCCCCCCAGUCGAAAAUUCAGUUACAACGUUGCUUCCUGAAAACUUAACUGCUAAUGGCCUACUGGCGACUCAUAUUGUUCAAGGGCUCAACUGUAGUUUUCUAGCAACUGAUAUACUGUACCCAGACCUUAGUUGUAAUUAAUUGGGUUUAGAAAUGUACUAUGUCUUUACCUAGCCUAAGUUAUUUAUUAUUGUAGAUAACUGCCACACAGAUUGAAAUCCACAACUUGAGCGCAGUUAGUAUCAUGCUGUAACCAACUGAACAAACUUUGAUGAAUUUGCAGUGAACAUUGUUCAUGCUAGGGCUCUGAUGUUCUACUUUGGGAUCUGAGGAAUUUAUUCUGUGCAAUUGAAAGACAUUUUUGGGGGUGCCUGGGUGGCUCAGUCAGACAGCACUUGAGAAAAAUGAAGGUGCUGUAUUGAGCUUCACUGAGAACUUUAUGAGUCUGCACCAGACCGUGUCUUAUAGAACACCACGGUCAUCCAGCUAAUGCUGCAGGUCUGUGCAAGGCUGGCUGUUCUGAUUCCGCCCUCACUCCACAGUGUUGAGGUACCCAGACCCACCUCUGCCGCCUGGCCCCUGCCACUCCAGGAAGCACUUCCUUCCAUCGCCUUUAGGAGGCACUGUUCCCACCGAAGGGCUGGCUUACAAAGUAAUCACAGAGCUUUUCAGGGAUGCCGGGGCUCCUCCCAGAAAUUCAUUUCUCACCAUCAUGGGGAAAGGUGUGUCUGCUGGACCCCCCCGGGGGAGUGGGGGGGGGGUGGUGAGUAGGUCUCAAAUGACAAAUCCACUCUAACGUUCCAGUCUACCUAAGCCUUUGAAUCCCUUCCUCUAUUAACCCGAGACAGGCCUGGCACUUCAUGUUCCUUUGCUGUGGCCGCUUGUGACCCACGUUUCGGCCAAGGAGCCAACUAUUAGAGCUCUUUGUGACUCUCUGAGCUGCAACACGAAAUGCAGAACCUCUGUUGAGCGCGCCCGUAUCGAUAAAUUUGGCCUGACCCA